rnacentral:rRNA from 1 species
AGUGAACGCUGGCGGCGUGCCUAAUACAUGCAAGUCGAACGGAGUGGCGCACGGGUGAGUAAUAUAUAGCUAAUCUGCCCCUUGCUGGAGGACAACAGUUAGAAAUGACUGCUAAUACUCCAAAGCAAGGGAUGAGCCUAUAUCGUAUCAGCUAGACGGUGGGGUAACGGCCGACCGAGGCUAUGACGCGUAACUGGUCUUAGCGGGUGAUCACGCACAUUGGAACUGAGACACGGUCCAAACUCCUACGGUAUGCAGCAGUAGGGAAUAUUUCGCAAUGGGGGAAACCCUGACGCGGCAACGCCGCGUGGAGGAUGAUACUUUGCGGAGCGUAAACUCCUUUUGUUAGGGAAGCGGUACCUAACGAAUAAGCACCGGCUAACUCCGUGCCAGCAGCCGCGGUAAUAC